GAUGAACGCUGGCGGCGUGCUUAACACAUGCAAGUCGAACGAUGAAGCCCAGCUUGCUGGGUGGAUUAGUGGCGAACGGGGGAGUAACACGUGAGUAACCUGCCCUUAAGUCUGGGAUAAGCCUGGGAAACUGGGUCUAAUACCGGGGAGGAGCGUUCACCGCAUGGGGGGGGGUGGAAAGAUUUGUCGGGUUUGGAUGGACUCGCGGCUUAUCAGCUUGUUGGUGGGGUAAUGGCUCACCAAGGCGAUGACGGGUAGCCGGCCUGAGAGGGUGACCGGCCACACUGGGACUGAGACACGGCCCAGACUCCUACGGGAGGCAGCAGUGGGGAAUAUUGCACAAUGGGCGGAAGCCUGAUGCAGCGACGCCGCGUGAGGGAUGACGGCCUUCGGGUUGUAAACCGCUUUCAGUUGGGAAGAAGCGAGAGUGACGGUACUGGCUGAAGAAGCACCGGCUAACUACGUG
rnacentral:rRNA from 1 species